GUGCUCGCUUCAGCAGCACAUAUAGUAAAAUUGGAACAAUACAGAGAAGAUUAGCAUGGCUCCUGCUCAAGGAUGACACCCAAGAUAGAAUACAAAUCAGAAAUGUGU